rnacentral:rRNA from 1 species
UAACUUAGUGGCGGACGGGUGAGUAACGCGUGGGAAACCUGCCCUGUACCGGGGGAGUAANACUUAGAAAUAGGUGCUAAUACCGCAUAAGCGCACAGCCUCACAUGAGGCAGUGUGAAAAACUCCGGUGGUACAGGAUGGUCCCGCGUCUGAUUAGCCAGUUGGCAGGGUAACGGCCUACCAAAGCGACGAUCAGUAGCCGGCCUGAGAGGGUGAACGGCCACAUUGGGACUGAGACACGGCCCAAACUCCUACGGGAGGCAGCAUG